rnacentral:rRNA from 1 species
AGCGCAGGCGGCCGGAUAAGUCUAAAGUGAAAUCCCGGGGCUCAACCUCGGAAUUGCUUUGGAUACUGCUCGGCUUGAGUACGUGAGAGGUAGGCGGAAUUCCAGGUGUAGCGGUGAAAUGCGUAGAUAUCUGGAGGAACAUCGGUGGCGAAAGCGGCCUACUGGCACGAAACUGACGCUGAGGCUCGAAAGCGUGGGGAGCGAACGGGAUUAGAUACCCCGGUAGUCCACGCCGUAAACGUUGUGCACUAGGUGUGGGAGGUAUCGACCCCUCCCGUGCCGUAGCUAACGCAUUAAGUGCACCGCCUGGGGAGUACGCCCGCAAGGGUGAA